CCCGGCGAUUAUGGCGGAGGGGCCACACCUCUUCCCAUUCCGAACAGAGUAGUUAAGCCCUCCAGCGCUGAUGGUACUGCCCCGGCAACGGGGUGGAAGAGUAAGUCGUCGCCGGGU
rnacentral:rRNA from 2 species